rnacentral:rRNA from 1 species
UAAUACGAAGGGGGCUAGCGUUGUUCGGAUUUACUGGGCGUAAAGCGCACGUAGGCGGGUCGUUAAGUCGGGGGUGAAAUCCUGGAGCUCAACUCCAGAACUGCCUUCGAUACUGGCGACCUAGAGUCCGGAAGAGGUGAGUGGAACUCCUAGUGUAGAGGUGGAAUUCGUAGAUAUUAGGAAGAACACCAGUGGCGAAGGCGGCUCACUGGUCCGGUACUGACGCUGAAGUGCGAAAGCGUGGGGAGCAAACAGG